CGUCGUUAAAUGCAUUCACAUUUUUAUCCCUACUUUCAUCUUUAGCAUCACUGUAUUGUUCUCCGGCGAAAGUUCGCCGCCUCAACCGCGGUUUUUCCUCCUUCCCUAACAUCUAAUUCUCACCCUUAACUUCUAAUUCUCACCCUUAACUUCUAAUUCAAUAGCUUAGUCAUUAACUCAACCCUCCCCCAAUUCUACUCUCAUUUUUCCUUCAUUCAUCUUCCUCCAAACCGAUCAAUUCCUCCUGAAAUUCGGCGAAUCCACAACUGGAAUCCACAAUCUCUCGCUUGAAAUCUCUCUCCGAUUCUACAGCGGAGUGUCUUCCCCACUUUCAUCACAUUCGGCCGAACGCCAGCGAAAUUGCAGUGUCUUCCUCCACCGCCUGCAUCUUAGGUUUAUUCCUUUUUUCUUCCUAAUCGGACGAGAGAAAUUGGAGAGUAGAUCGAUGAUGAGUUCGUUCUCCAAAUCAAAAGGUUCAGGAAUUUAAAUAUAAGCUUCAGAAGAGCUUUUGUGACACAAGAGCAUACUGUUAUGCAAGAGCAUUACUCUCGCUUUCACUAACGCCUAUCUGUUAUGCCGGUUGACCUCUUGCCAGAAAACAAAUGUUUUGGUUCGAGAGAGAAUCUUUGAAGCCCUCUCCAGUGAUAACUUCUUUGGUGGUCUUGACAUCGACCUUGAUGGAUCAAGUCCAAGAGAUGAUAGUUGUCUCCCUUUCUAUCAGAUGUAAACUUUUUAUCAUUAUCGAAUUUUCUUUGUAUAGUUGGUCAGCUCUCAGCCGUGCUCUUCUUAAUUC